rnacentral:rRNA from 1 species
GACGAACGCUGGCGGCGCGCUUAACACAUGCAAGUCGAGCGAUGAAAUUUCGACAGAUCCCUUCGGGGUGAAGAUGAAAUGGAUUAGCGGCGGACGGGUGAAUAACACGUGAGUAACCUGCCUUUGACAUUGGGAUAGCCUCGGGAAACUGGGAUUAAUACCAAAUGACACUAACUGAUCACAUGAUCAAUUAGUCAAAGAAAUUCGGUCAAAGAUGGACUCGCGGCUGAUUAGCUAGUUGGUGAGGUAACGGCCCACCAAGGCGACGAUCAGUAGCCGGCCUGAGAGGGUGAUCGGCCACAUUGGAACUGAGACACGGUCCAAACUCCUACGGGAGGCAGCAGUGGGGAAUAUUGCACAAUGGGGGAAACCCUGAUGCAGCGACGCCGCGUGAGCGAAGAAGGCCUUCGGGUCGUAAAGCUCUUUUAUGAGGGAAGAUAAUGACGGUACCUCAAGAAAAAGCCCCGGCUAACUACGUG